rnacentral:lncRNA from 1 species
UGGAGGGAGAUUAGAAGCGGGGUAGAAAGGGGAAUAAUCAAACAAGGAAGGAUCGCAUUUCAUCAUUGUUAACAAAAGGGAUAUUUAUAAUAUAACGGAGGUUUAGUCGUAUAGACUCAAAUAACUAGUAAGUUCGGAUAACUCCGACUUAGCCAAAAUAACAUAAAACUUCUGAAUACGCAGCGGAAUAAGGUUCUGAUUACAUGUAUGAAGACAUGUAUCCCUAGAGUUCAUUAAUACAUAAUAAGACAAAAGAGUCCCGCUCGUCACUUCAUCACCAUCGGCAGCUACUCAACCUGCACAUUUAGAAAUAUAUGCAGGGCUGAGUACAAAAGUACUCAGUGGGCACGUAUGCCUAAGUAUAAAAAAAAUACAUGCUUCAAAAGUGUAAAUUGUCAUGCCAUCAUAAACAGUACAACAAGGGAGUUUUUCGCUAAAAAGGCCCAAGCUUACUAAGUUCAUUUGUGAUUCUUAAAGUUCGUCUGCAGACUAAGUUCUCUUGUAAUCUAUCAUAUCUGGAACUUUGUGCCGGAGAGGUGGCCACCUCUCACGGUCACUUGACCGGCCAACCCGCUAGAUGACUCACGGUCACUGGUGUACACUAGCCCUGGCAGGAUAGCUAUCAACUGCUCAGGACCCGAAUUCGAUUACAUCAUUGGCAAAGCCAAAGCAGAUAGAUAUCAUACUAAAAUUUAAACAUUUUAUGGCAAGACAAUACUUGAAAUAACUUUAACUCAAAUAUUUUGUAACGAAAUAACUUGCUCAAAUGUAACAUUAAACUCAUUUGAUAGAUAUAUAAAACUGAAAUUAACAGUUAAAUCAUCUCAUGCAUUCAUUCGUAUAAGAGGCCUACGACACGCAGGGGAUCUCUAUAUACGUAUAGUAAAAGUAAUGCCCACCUGAUAGAAACUUUCUGUGGUACAG